UUGGUAUUCAAGUGCAAGGCCAUCCAUCUUCUAUAUUGGAUAAAAUGAGUUGUCAUAACCUGUUGUGUAUGAUAAAUGUUUAAAUAGCUUGGUGUUGGCUGUUUCAUUUUUAUACCUCAUGCCUCCAUGCUAUUCUUCUCUGUGUAGUCUUCAUAUUUAAGUUGUUCCAUCAUGUGACUUUUCCAUUGGAUUUUUAUAUGUGCAAAAACCUCAUGCCCUGUUUUCAAGUGAGGUGGGAACCUUCUUCUAAAAGUGUGCUGAAGAACAAUGAAUUUCACCAUUUAUACAAUUGUUGCAAUCUGCCAGAAUUCACUAAAAAAGUUAGCAUAGAUUUCAUUUUUCCAGAAAGAGUUAUGUGAAUUAAACCUCAUGUGGAUACUAUUAACUUUUCCCUGAACACAGUGAUUCCGAAACUUUGGUCGUACAGAUAUUUUGGACUUCAGCUCCCAAACUUCCUGGGGCUUCUGGGAGCUAAAGUCCAAAACACCUGGAAGACCAAAAUUUGGGGACCACUGCCUUAACAAAUGGGUUUUCCUGAAGUUGUAUAACCAAUUUGGUUUAAACACAGCAACUACUGUGUUUAACUACAGUAGCACAUACACACCCUUGUUUAAUUGGGUUUCAUUAUAACAGUUUCUGUAAAAUCACUCUGUUUUAUCUCUUACUUUUGCUCUUUCCAUGUAAUACUGGGAAUCAUUACCUACUAUAACAUAACAAUAGCUUCUUGCUCAGAAGACAGCACUGUGUUCAGCUUGGGUCAAGUUGGUGGCUGAGAAUUUGUUCGCAAUCUAUCCCAGUGUCAAGCAGGACCCAAAGUUUUUCUGUAUAUCUCUGAGGAAAGAAAGAGGCCUAUUGGAUGAACCAAGCAGGUGAAAAACCUUAAAUCUUCCUCCCCCAAAAAGAGUUGCUAAUAUAACAAGGUUAGCAACACUUUAAAGCAGCAGCAGUGGGUUGUGUUUAAUAGCACACCAGUAGACAAUUUUUAAGAAACCAGCUUGUCGUGGUGUUGUUUGCUCUCUCAUAUAAAGCUGUAUGUGGUAGAUAUUUAGUCGUACCUUUGUGAAUCCUGGCUUACUCUUUUACACAUCUUGGUUCCUGUAUUAACACAUGAUUCUUCCUGUACUUUUUUGUUUUUUACAGAUAGUUUUCGAAGAAGGGAUCAGGCCCAACAGGGUAUGGUAAACUUCCAGUAUGAUGAUUUCAUACAGUGUGUCAUGAGCAUUUAAUUCAAGCUGAAGGAAGAGACUGAUGAGCAUGACCCACAUUCCACUUUGUUUUGCUUUGCACCAAAAAUUAUCAUGGCUGUGUAACUAAAUGGUGGUAUUUGCAUAUUUUAUAAAUAUUGAUUUAUAUGCUUUUAUAGUUUUGAUAACUAACAAAAGAAGGGAAAUUAAAUAAAUCAUGUUUUAAGUUGAUCUGUCUUGCAUAUUUAUAAUCUGCUCAAUGUCAAAGUAAAAAUGUUGUUUGGUUUUAUCAUCUCUUCCUGUACUUUGUUACAUUGCUCAUAUUGGAAUGUGUUUUGUACCUUUGCCACCCAAAUGGUCCAAAGUAGGAAGGUGGGUAUACAUUAAAAUUAGUGUAUAAAAUCGA